rnacentral:lncRNA from 1 species
ACGGAGGAAAUUCCCUAGCCGCAGCACGGUCAGCACUCGCUUCUUCACCACCAAUGUUUAUAUUGGUGAUCUUGUUCCGGAUCUUAAACCUCUGUAACCACCCAGAGGAAGCAUUAAAGGGUAUAUAAAAGGAACAGUGUGAGCAGUUUUUUUCAACUUUUAAUUGAAUUAAUUUAUUAUUUCCAGGGUAUUCAAGGUACCAGCAAACCAACUCAUUACCAUAUUCUGUGGGAUGACAAUGAUAUGACAAUGGAUGAUAUACAGAUGCUAACCUACAGUUUAUGCCAUCUGUACUUUCGUUGUACAAGAUCUGUCUCCCUUCCAAGCCCUGCGUACUAUGCUCAUUUGGCUGCUUUCAGGGCAAAAGUACACAUCUCAGAAUUGUCUGAAAGGGAUGGAGAUGGUAUGACUCAGGAAGAAAUUAAGUGUGUUGCUACAGUUGAACAGAAAAAUGCACUCUCAAGCAAGUUAUAUUAUGUGUAGUAAAUCAAAUGGUGUGUACUAGAAUUUAUUUUCCAUGUAGACUGGCAUAUAAGAGGUUUCUGAAUUGUUGGGAGGAUUUAUUUUUAGGUGACUGUUCCUAUAAUGAAUCUUUCAUGUGGUGCAUCUAUGCAUAUACAAGAUAGGAAUUAUAUCUUGCUGUCUUUAGGAAGAUAAAUGUUGUACUCGGUGAAAAGGUGUACCUGUAGUAUAAGGUACAAAAUGCAUCUGAGGAUACAGGUUCUUUUGUGCAGUAAUCACAAAAAUAGUUGUCUGUAUUAAAUCUUAGAAUUAUGUAAUUGCAGUUGAAAGGGUUUCAUUUUUUUUAUACCAUGCCAAGAGGAUAGUUGUCUUAGGAAUACUGUACUGCAUAGUAUAUUUCUUAUUUGGAGUUAAGCUUACUGUAGAUUUAGAGGAAAAUGUAUUGGUUCUUUUGCAUGUUGACAAUUUAAGUUUUAUGUUAUAUUUAAUGAGUGGACAAAGCUUUAUGUAACUAUGCUGAUGUUCAUAAUAUUUCAGAAGAUUUAAGAGAAAUUAAAAAAAAUGGACUGGAGACCAUUUUUGUUUCAGUUUUAUAGCAGGAUUGCAUUUAAAUGCCAGUUUACUAUGGUUUUUCUUUUAAUAUUUAUUGGGAAGAUAUGGAAAUAUGAUAAAUAACAAUGUUUCUAAAAAU